UGACUGUCCCCCAGCCCGACACCCGUAAAGGGUCUGUGCUGAGGAGGAUUAGUAAAAGAGGAAGGAAUGCCUCUUGCAGUUGAGACAAGAGGAAGGCAUCUGUCUCCUGCCCGUCCCUGGGCAAUGGAAUGUCUCGGUAUAAAACCCGGUUGUAUGCUCCAUCUACUGAGAUAGGGAAAAACCGCCUUAGGGCUGGAGGUGGGACCUGCGGGCAGCAAUACGGUUUUGUAAAGCAUUGAGAUGUUUAUGUGUAUGCAUAUCUAAAAGCACAGCACUUAAUCCUUUACAUUCUCUAUGAUGCAAAGACCUUUGUUCACGUGUUUGUCUGCUGACCCUCUCCCCACAAUUGUCUUGUGACCCUGACACAUCCCCCUCUUCGAGAAACACCC
rnacentral:lncRNA from 1 species